GACGAACGCUGGCGGCGUGCUUAACACAUGCAAGUCGUACGGUAAGGCCCUUUCGGGGGUACACGAGUGGCGAACGGGUGAGUAACACGUGAGUAACCUGCCCACAACUUUGGGAUAACGCUAGGAAACUGGUGCUAAUACUGGAUAUGUGCUCCUGCUGCAUGGUGGGGGUUGGAAAGCUCCGGCGGUUGUGGAUGGACUCGCGGCCUAUCAGCUUGUUGGUGGGGUAGUGGCCUACCAAGGCGGCGACGGGUAGCCGGCCUGAGAGGGUGACCGGCCACAUUGGGACUGAGGUACGGCCCAGACUCCUACGGGGGGCAGGAGGGGGGAAGCUGGUGCAGUGGGCGGAGGCGUGAGGCGGAAACGCUGGGGGCGGGGUGCCGGCCUGCGGGUGGUAAACAGCUGCAGCAGGUGACGAAGCGUGAGUGACGGUAAUGGGUAAAGAAGCACCGGCUAACUACGUG
rnacentral:rRNA from 1 species